AUUGAACGCUGGCGGCAUGCUUUACACAUGCAAGUCGAACGGUAACAGGCCGCAAGGUGCUGACGAGUGGCGAACGGGUGAGUAAUGCAUCGGAACGUGCCCAGUCGUGAGGGAUAACUACUCGAAAGAGUAGCUAAUACCGCAUACGAUCUAUGGAUGAAAGCGGGGGACCGUAAGGCCCCGCGCGAUUGGAGCGGCCGAUGUCAGAUUAGGUAGUUGGUGGGGUAAAGGCUCACCAAGCCAACGAUCUGUAGCUGGUCGGAGAGGACGACCAGCCACACUGGGACUGAGACACGGCCCAGACUCCUACGGGAGGCAGCAGUGGGGAAUUUUGGACAAUGGGCGCAAGCCUGAUCCAGCAAUGCCGCGUGCAGGAAGAAGGCCUUCGGGUUGUAAACUGCUUUUGUACGGAACGAAACGGCUCUGGUUAAUACCCGGGGCUAAUGACGGUACCGUAAGAAUAAGCACCGGCUAACUACGUG
rnacentral:rRNA from 1 species